rnacentral:rRNA from 1 species
CCUACGGGUGGCAGCAGUGAGGAAUAUUGGUCAAUGGGCGCAAGCCUGAACCAGCCAAGUCGCGUGAGGGAAGACGGUCCUAUGGAUUGUAAACCUCUUUUGUCGGGGAGCAAAGCGCGGUACGAGUGCCGUGAAGGAGAGUACCCGAAGAAAAAGCAUCGGCUAACUCCGUGCCAGCAGCCGCGGUAAUACGGAGGGGGCAAGCGUUAUCCGGAUUUACUGGGUGUAAAGGGGGCGCAGACGGCAAUGCAAGCCAGGAGUGAAAGCCGGGGGCCCAACCCCGGGACUGCUCUUGAAACUGGAUGGCUGGAGUACAGGAGAGGUAGGCGGAAUGCGUGGUGUAGCGGUGAAAUGCGUAGAUAUUAGGAGGAACCCCGGUGGCGAAGGCGGCCUGCUGGCCUGUGACUGACGUUGAGGCCCGAAGGCGUGGGGAGCGAACAGGAUUAGAUACCCUUGUAGUC